rnacentral:rRNA from 1 species
AGUGAACGCUGGCGGUAGGCCUAACACAUGCAAGUCGAACGGCAGCACAGUAAGAGCUUGCUCUUACGGGUGGCGAGUGGCGGACGGGUGAGGAAUACAUCGGAAUCUACUUUUUCGUGGGGGAUAACGUAGGGAAACUUACGCUAAUACCGCAUACGACCUACGGGUGAAAGCAGGGGAUCUUCGGACCUUGCGCGAUUGAAUGAGCCGAUGUCGGAUUAGCUAGUUGGCGGGGUAAAGGCCCACCAAGGCGACGAUCCGUAGCUGGUCUGAGAGGAGGGUCGGCCACAUGGGAGCUGAGACACGGUCCAGACGCCUGAGGGAGGCAGCAGUGGGGAAUAGGGGACAAUGGGCGCAAGCCUGGUCCAGCCAUACCGCGUGGGUGAAGGAGGCGUUCGGGUUGUAAAGCCCGUUUGUUGGGAGAGAAAAGCAGCAGGUUAAUACGCCGCUGUUCUGACGGUACCCAAAGAAGAAGCACCGGCUAACUUCGUG